rnacentral:lncRNA from 1 species
GGAAAUUACUCGUGUUUGAUUGUUUGUAGGUUUCUGAACAGCACAAGCCUCGCCCAAGCGUGGAAAUGGUCGCUCAAGCCAUAAUUUAGAAGAAAAACACCAGAAAAUACUGACAUCCCUCGCCCAAGCGCCAAUUGAAGGUCAAAAACCUGAUAGGCGAGGGAGUCUCGCCCAAGCGAGGUGUUCAAGCGAGGAAGGGGCUUUUUCUCUCGCUCAAGCGAGAAUCCUUAGGUUGAGUAAGAGAGUGACAGUUGGAACUUGAUAUAGGCAGUUCUGGACAUCAAAGGGGGUUAUCGAAAUACUUCUGAAGCAUAUUUUGCAUUAUUCCUUGUAUAAUUUCAUGAUUUGAGCGUUGUAAUAGCAAGAAGGAAUGAUUAGAUCUUGUUGUGGGAUUCGAAAUGUAAUCUUCUAACCUUUGUACUCCUGGA